GCAUCACAUUUAUACAUGUUACAGAAUUAUAUUUAUAAGUAUGUAGUUUACAUUCAUAGAUUUUGAGAUUUACAUUUAUAUGUGUAUAGAGUAACAUAUAUAUAUUUAUAUAAAUAUAUUAAAGUGCAUAGCUAUUUAGUUAGAGGUUUGUGGCAAUUUAGAUGCAUAGGUUGAGCUGUGUAGGCCUAGGCUGCAUUUGUACCUCUUUCCCCCCUCGGCUGCCUUUUUCACCUCUUGCUUUUCCCCCGGUGCCCCCUGUGUCCCCUGUCCCUGUGCUGGGUCCGAGCUGGCGGCCGGGCCGGGUGGAGCAGCACUUCCAGCCCCGGCUGUCCCUGGAGCGGUGGGAGCUGCCGCUGGCCCCAGGCACUGUCCCCUGAGGAGCUGCUGAAGGACGCUGCAAGGAAGACCUUGAGGACAGCCACAGACUGACGGGAGGCAGCAGGGAGGAGCUGAAGGCCAGCAGCAAGAGCAGUGAACGGGGACCUGCUGCUGCCAGCCUGGAGAGAGCCCGGAGUCCCAUCUGCUGCCCCUGCCCAGGGGAGCGGCUCUGCAUGGGAGGAGGAGACGGAGGGAGAGGCUUUGAAGGUGGGGCAGCUGGGAUCCCUCUGCUUGGAGUUCCAUGUAGACAUUUCUAGAAGUGCACAUAGAGAUGGAUUAUCAUUUGGAUAUGCACAUUUGUGGGUUGCUAUUUGUAUAGGACUAUUUCUGUA